UCGAAAGACAUUCAUUCAAGAGAUCCUAACGUGAUUAUCGUAAAUAGCUGGAAUUGUAGAUAUUUACAAUGACAUAGAUCAUUUUUCUUCGACGUAAUUACGGCCUAAUGUCGAGACAAGAAUAAUAUGACGCUGAUCUGUGUUUUGACAAGAAUAUGAAUGAUCUUAAGAAAAGGCUUCGCUGAAUCAAUUGGAAGACAGCGUCUUCAAUUGUCCUACUAAAUUCUUUACGGAUGACAUCUGGGUCUGGGGAGAUCAUGCAAAAAAAUAAGACAUCAUUUAUAACUUUCAACCUUCCGCUCACAGGACAAAUUCUCGAAGACGCUACGAAAAGAUGCUGAGCUUGAUCAUAAUUCUUCAGGCUCCCAAUUCAAGAAUACAAUUACUUAGCGUGGGUGCUUCUGCUCAGUCUUCGUUUCCUAUCUCCACAUACGAAUCACUCGCUUGUUACUAAUUCGAAUAAUUUACUGCUGUAAGGAGUCGUACCGCCAACUAAAUCUGAAUAACAAUUUGGCUGCUAGAAGUCAAAAAGUAGGCGCUGCAAUGAUUAUGUGGUAUGAUCAGAUUGUGUCGCAACAUUCAGCGGGGUUUUGACUCAAUGGGACCGCUGCUAAUAAAGUGUUUAACUAGCGAAUUUUGGAACACACCCGUUGACAAAAGUAUAAGGAGUCUCUUUCCGUGAGUUCCCCUCUUCCUCUCACUGCACUUCAACUAUGCCUUAUAGCAACCAAGAAGCUAGAAAAUGCCAACUAUUAAAAAGAUAACCUCUUUGGAAUCAAAUAAAACGGAGAUUAUCUUGGGAUCUAUUUCACAAAUUUACGGCUAAUUGGAAUGAACAGCGCCAAGUAGCACUGGACAAACUGCAGAGAGUAUUAGAACUUGCUUUAUUCCGUAUAUCGUACUUUAGGUCGUCAGUUUUACCACUUCGGUACGCAAAUGAAAAUAAAAAGCUCAUUCACAACUUAGACACAAUUUCGCCGUUUACAAGUAGCUGAAAAGUCCAUCUAUCGAAUUAUGAAUGAUACUAUUUUAAAUAUCGUCGUUACUGCACUCGUUUUCCACGUUCUUUUUAUCCACACAUCCGAUGUUUUAUUUACAGUUGAGCAUCUCAGGGCCAGCGACAAAUAUAAACAUAUUAUACUCAAAAUGAAGCUCGUUGAAAAGAGAAUAUUUCUUAACCUCUUUUACAGUGCUUUCAACACCUUUUCACCUGUGUGCCAUGUCAGAUUAAGGAUGCUCAACUUUUCGAAUUAUUAUUACAAAUUUCAAAGAAAUUACUAGUCCUUUUUGUCCCCUAAUGUAUCCCUCAUUUCAUACCGUCGUUUUGGGGUUCCAACUACGUAUAGCUUUCAAGUGUGGUUUUACGGUAAGAACAACCCCCCAUCGGUUGGUGCGGAAUACUUUCCUAUUCUCAUCGAGAGCCGAGCCAUACACCUAAGGUGGACAGAAAGCUAAAAUUCCAAAACAGAAAAAUCUAACAUCUUUGCUCCCUUACAAGUAGGAACGCUGGCGUAUCAACCCGUCUCCAGAUUUGCCCAGCAUUUCUGUAGAACACCCAAUGCGAAUGAAGACUAAUGAAUAUUGUAAAGACAAAAAAUAGGAAAAGUUUAAUUAGUGAUGGUUCUCACCACCCCAAAACGGUCACUUGCAUGCAUUGAGGACAUGCACCUGCAGUACUUGUUUUUCUCGAAUGUUUUUACCAUCUCUUUUUUCCUUAUCUGAGCUACUGACGCAGACGGACAUUGUUUCAUAUUUCGAAAGCUGUGCGGGAAAACGGAUCCUAACACGAAUGUGAAUGCGCUAAUCAAUAUUUCCACCACAUGAAACCUGCUACUUUUUCAGUCCUCUUCGUAUGCAUUUCCCAAAAUUCAUUCGUAGCCUUGUCAACUUAGACUCAGUUCCACGGCGUGCAGGACGGGGUAUUAUGAAUAAAAGGAUCCACGGGUGAGAUUUGUUCUGUGUUUUAGGUAUGGAGUUUUGUACCACAAAACUUUAGGAAUACCGGAUUUUGUGCCUACGCCAGCCCCAGAGUAUGUUCUCACAGCUGUAAUUCCUAGUGAUCUUUUCCUGGCUCCAAUAGGAACGCCGGUAGGCAAAUUAAACUUUUGCGGCAGGAAAAAAAAGGCUUUUUCUUUUUUGCCUUUCAGUUUCUCGGAAUGUGGCAUCACAUAAGCAUAAUCCUUUUUGGGUGUGCCUGGAAAGUUCAAAUUAAGGUUUUUUUCUUCUGUUUUCUUGGCAAGAAAAUGUCGCCCAAAGAGUUUCGGCCGUUAUUUUUCCUAUCGAAGUGGGUCCUUUUUGUCUUUAGUCCUUCUCUGGGGCUAGCGAUCACUGCAAAAUUAGGCUUCACUGGUACGAGUUAACUUUUUUUCUUUUUUUUUGUCAUCCUUUUCUUUGGGGCUAAGAAUACCCAAUGCGAAUGAAGACUAAUGAAUAUUGUAAAGACAAAAAAUAGGAAAAGUUUAAUUAGUGAUGGUUCUCACCACCCCAAAACGGUCACUUGCAUGCAUUGAGGACAUGCACCUGCAGUACUUGUUUUUCUCGAAUGUUUUUACCAUCUCUUUUUUCCUUAUCUGAGCUACUGACGCAGACGGACAUUGUUUCAUAUUUCGAAAGCUGUGCGGGAAAACGGAUCCUAACACGAAUGUGAAUGCGCUAAUCAAUAUUUCCACCACAUGAAACCUGCUACUUUUUCAGUCCUCUUCGUAUGCAUUUCCCAAAAUUCAUUCGUAGCCUUGUCAACUUAGACUCAGUUCCACGGCGUGCAGGACGGGGUAUUAUGAAUAAAAGGAUCCACGGGUGAGAUUUGUUCUGUGUUUUAGGUAUGGAGUUUUGUACCACAAAACUUUAGGAAUACCGGAUUUUGUGCCUACGCCAGCCCCAGAGUAUGUUCUCACAGCUGUAAUUCCUAGUGAUCUUUUCCUGGCUCCAAUAGGAACGCCGGUAGGCAAAUUAAGGUUUUUUUCUUCUGUUUUCUUGACAAGAGAAUGUCGCCCAAAGAGUUUCGGCCGUUAUUUUCCUAUCGAAGUGGGUCCUUUUUGUCUUUAGUCCUUCUCUGGGGCUAGCGAUCACUGCAAAAUUAGGCUUCACUGGUACGAGUUAACUUUUUUUCUUUUUUUUUGUCAUCCUUUUCUUUGGGGCUAAGAACGGACUUCCCUUUUCUUUUUCUUUGUUGCAGCAGUGGCUUCAAAGAACUGCUGAUUGCUCAAGGCAAUCAGUCCGAGCGUUUAGAAGGUGAUUGUAGGCAGAAAUUAACUUUGCGGUAAAAGAAUGACAUUCUUUCUUAAAAGAAAAAUUAGCUUUUUUUUGUCAGGCAUUGCACAAACUUUUUUAUUUCUGCCUAUACUCUUAAACAGAUCAGUCAUUCAUGUUGUCUUUUUAACGGUCGUACUGGGACAUCACAUGCCUUGGGAUUCCGUAAUUAGGUGCAACAAUACGGGCACAACUCAUUCUGCGCUAUCUUCACGGACAGAACUUCUAUUGCCUAUCGGUGGUGUGAUUAACAAUUGGAAGCGCAGAGCUUGGAAUGGAUUUCCAAUUCAAUGGAUUUGGAGGUAUUCGUUUGUUUACUAAUAUUUACUUUGAGGACAUUGCCCAACCCUAAAAGUGCCUGUUCCAGAAUAGAAUAACAUUAUGAUACGUUUUCUUGACCGCUGAGCAAUUUAAAGCAAUUAUUAGGGUACGAUUGUUUCUAGAGAAAUGUGGGUCAUCUUUUUAGGUCCGUUCUCUUCUGAUGAGGUAACCUUUACAAAAAUGUCAUAGAGUUACCAAUUGGGAUUCAAGGCAUCAUCGCAAUAUACUUCGUUCUCUUACGGAGAAAUUAAGCACUUUCUACUUUGAAUUAACUGUUAGACUUGUCUUAUCUGAGGAAUGUCCGUGUUCAAAUUAAAUAAAAAUUUAGGGCAGUUUUAUUUACCUUAACAAAUAUGUUCAAGCAUGUACGU
rnacentral:sRNA from 3 species